GCCAUGUGUGCACGACACUUUAAAGUGGGCUAAAUGGUUUUGCACUGCUUUAAUGGUGUCUGUGUUUGCACAUGUCAGCAGCGUUUUGUGCAUUAAUUCCAGCUGCUUCUACACAUUCAGC